rnacentral:hammerhead_ribozyme from 2 species
GUCCAACUGAUGAGUCCAAAAAAGGACGAAAUACGUGUCUUGGGC